rnacentral:lncRNA from 1 species
UGCUAAAUGGGAAAGAAGAGAAUUAGUAGCGGUAACAAAGAAUUCAUUUUCAUGCCAGAUAAAAUAUUGGAUGCCAAAACAUGUUAACACUUCGAGUUGUUAAAUAUCCAUCUAUCAGUUACCCAGUAGAGAUUGGCAGGCAUUUUUAUUAGGCAUUAUUAAACAAUUCUCUGAAUUUCUACGCUUGUGGUUGUCUACUCAUAUAAUGUAGAAAACUAAGACAGAAAUACUACAUAAAUAUCUUUUACACAAGUGAAAAACACUGAAAAUUCUAAUUAGUACAGUAAUUUACACAUUUUCCUUUAUCUUGGAUUUGUCUGAAGCUGAUUUAUAAAAAUUUCUUUACAUGCAUCUGAUCCGUUACUUUUUUUUUUUUUUUUUUUUUUUUAUGAUAGUCACACAGAGAGAGAGAGAGAGGCAGAGGGAGAAGCAGGCUCCAUGCACCGGGAGCCCGACGUGGGAUUCGAUCCCGGGUCUCCAGGAUCGCGCCCUGGGCCAAAGACAGGCGCCAAACCGCUGCGCCACCCAGGGAUCCCAAUCCGUUACUUUUAAAAUAAGGGUUUCACAGUCAUUGAAGAGGGAAGACAGAGCAAAAAGUAAGUGAUACAAGAACCCAUAAUGUCAAAUAAACAAUGCGGUUGGAGCUAUCAUGGGUCAGAAGCAGCUUAGAGAGGUCAGGUAGGGCUUCAUGGAGGAAAUGGACUCAUGCUGUUUCUGAAAGAAUGGCUAAAUAGAGAAGAAUGCUGUGGUCUGUCCCUGGGAUCCCAGGAACCAGUCGAGCUGGGUAAAGGAUGAUCUGCUAUCCUCAACAAAAAGUACUUGCUGGCCUUCCUCCACUAUGUGCCAAAAGAGCACCUGGAAGCCUUAAAAAUGCAACCGUUGUAACAACUGAGAUGAGAUGAUGUGUGAAGAAAGGCAGCCGGAUGUGAAUCACCGACUCCACAUGAGCCAUGGACUUUAAGGCCAUACCUAAUUCAGAACAAAGUACAGUCAGAGCAUCUGAGGGAGGAACACCAGGCUACUCUAGUCAUUUAGAGCUGGAAGACGUGGCCAUGGUUGAAGGUACUGAGGAGCGGGUCACUCAGGCCCAUGCUUGACCAUGCAGGGUAGUUCCAGAUCUGUAGUCAUUCCCUGACUGGCCACUGCACUAACCGGGACUUCCUCUAAGGUUGGAAUUUCAAAGGACAAUUUCACCAUAAACACUGUAUCUUUCUCUUCUCUUCUCUUCUCUUCUCUUCUCUUCUCUUCUCUUCUCUUCUCUUCUCUUCUCUUCUCUUCUCUUCUCUCUCUCCUCUCCUCUCCUCUCCUCUCCUCUCCUCUCCUCUCCUCUCCUCUCCUCUCCUCUUCUCUUCUCUCUUUCUCUUAUUUUCUCCUGAGAUUAAAGAACUUGGAACAAUCUGGGUUUUAAUUUCCUCAAUAGUGAAAUGAAGAUGUUGAACUACAGUAUCACCAUAAACUCUCUUCAUCAUUUUUCUGCCAUAUUGGAAUUAUUCUCCAUGUUCUUCUGAACGCUUUCUUCUCAUUGGACCAUUGGACGUGAUCAAGAUUGUCCUUGAGGAGUGAAAGUAAAAUUUAGGAGGACAAUGAGAACAAAUAUUAACAGAGCACAACCACUUGCAUAGGGACUUUGUGGUGACCCCGAGGAAACUAUGAAGUUCCUUUAAAAAAAAUUUUUUCGAGAUGCUAAAGCUGUCUUCCAUAAAUCAGAUGACUGGCUAAAGUGAUAUAUCACCUCAAAAGUGUACAUAAGAAACAAAGUAAUGUGAAGAUAAAAUCAAUAUUAUUAAACUGGAUGGACCAAGAGACUCAGAUCUUUGUAGUUCCUCACUUGGUGAUAUCUGUGUUUUAUUUCACUGCACAAAA